rnacentral:tmRNA from 1 species
UUUCUUUUCAACUCCAUAAAAAAAGUUUAUAAUUUAUGCUGUCAAAAGAAAUUAUAUCUUAUGACUAUAGCAAUAAAUAUUCAAUAUAAUAAACCAAUUGGACUCGGGGGCAGUACCCGGCGCCUCCACCAUAACCUUUUAAAAUUGUUUAAUAUUAAAUCAAUAUAAUGGGGGCGAAACAGGAUCGACAAGGGCGUAAAGAUUGAAAGUUUGCUCGGUAUUGUACCACCGUUAUCGGGCUAAAAUCUAGUUGCAAACGACAACUAUGCUGAAGCACGUCUCGCUGCUUAAUUGCGGUGUGACACUUCAACUCAAGUCCUGAUGGGUUGCACCAUUAGGCGGGGCCCGAAGGCGCCUGGCAACAGAAGCCUUCACU